CCUACGGGGGGCUGCAGUGGGGAAUAUUGGACAAUGGGGGCAACCCUGAUCUAGCCAUGCCGCGUGUGUGAAGAAGGCCCUCGGGUUGUAAAGCACUUUCAGUGAGGAAGAACGCCUGGUGGUUAAUACCCAUCAGGAAAGACAUCACUCACAGAAGAAGCACCGGCUAACUCCGUGCCAGCAGCCGCGGUAAUACGGAGGGUGCGAGCGUUAAUCGGAAUUACUGGGCGUAAAGCGCGCGUAGGUGGCUUGAUAAGCCGGUUGUGAAAGCCCCGGGCUCAACCUGGGAACGGCAUCCGGAACUGUCAAGCUAGAGUGCAGGAGAGGAAGGUAGAAUUCCCGGUGUAGCGGUGAAAUGCGUAGAGAUCGGGAGGAAUACCAGUGGCGAAGGCGGCCUUCUGGACUGACACUGACACUGAGGUGCGAAAGCGUGGGUAGCAAACAGGAUUAGAUACCCCAGUAGUC
rnacentral:rRNA from 1 species